UACGGAAGGUCCGGGCGUUAUCCGGAUUUAUUGGGUUUAAAGGGAGCGUAGGCCGGCUUUUAAGUCAGCUGUGAAAUCCCAUGGCUUAACCAUGGAACUGCAUCUAAAACUGCAUAGCUGGAGUGCAGGAGAGGUGAGUGGAAUUCCUAGUGUAGCGGUGGAAUGCGUAGAUAUUAGGAGGAACACCAGAGGCGAAGGCGACUCACUGGACUGUAACUGACGCUGAGGCUCGAAAGCGUGGGGAGCAAACAGG
rnacentral:rRNA from 1 species